rnacentral:rRNA from 1 species
AUGGAUUUGGUGGACUGCAGGACCGUGGUGAUGAAAGAGGUGAACGACAACGAGCUACCAUUGGAGCCGCAGCUCUACCCAGCUUUGGCGACAGGAACCGAAGAACUGCCCCCAAUGGCCACCGGUAGCAUUGGCGGGCAGAUAUGUGCGGCGGAUGUGGUAGCCGGAGCCGAGGGGGAUGAUGAACCGCAAGCAUCUGAGCAAUCUAUAGGUCAAAUUGAUCCAAAAACUCCUGGCUGGUCUCGCAAGGUCAGAAUUGGAGCUGUUGCUCCGGAGAGGGCACCUUGCCAUGGACGGCCCAGCGCCCUUGAGAAGACAAUUCACGGAUUCACUCAGAAGCGAGGUGACAUUGUAAUUGUGCCUGCAUUGGGCACAAGCUUUGAUACACUCGGUGAAGCCUAUGAUUUCUACAACCUUUACUCGUGGGAGAAGGGGUUUGGAAUAAGGUACGGGAAGAGUAGACUGAAUGUGGAGAGUACAAAGGGCAUGCAAGAAACUGUUUGUGGCUAA